GGGAGGAGGAAAUCUCAUCUAAGCAGCAGAUCCUGAUGCUUCAAAUCUUAAGUGAACUCGGUGCCUCAUCUAGUGGCAGAGAACUGAAUUGCAGCAUGUUCUACUAACGCAAGCUUUACCUACCUAGUAAUGCAACAACUAUUCACAUGGUCAUGCAGGGUGUAAAUGAAUGGCUACGGUGCUUACAUUACACAGAAAACAUUGGUAAUAUUACUCUUACCAUUAAG